UGCACGGUUCUUGCGCAAUCCACGAGUGCGGGGAGCGAUCAGGUAUGAAUCUCCCUACUGGAGAACAAUUGCUGCAGCGCGCAUCCAAGUUGCAUGGAGGUACCUUAAGAGGCAACUAAAGCGAGCAGAAAGAUCAAGGCCGAGCGAAGAACCUGAUCGUAAACCUACAUGGUCUCAUUAUGCUUUUCAGCAUUGAUAGAGGGCUGAUAGUCUGCCUAUGUAGAUACUAACUACCUGUGCAGUACUAGACUAUAGCUGCCAGAAAUCUUGAAUCCCUUGUUGGAAUGUAGCCCGUGCCGUUAAAGUUUCUCGGCUUUCUGGUUCUCUGAUCUUGUAGCUCCAGAGGUGUGAAAACUAAUCUCCUGUAUAUAGUGAAAAAUUAUUUGAUUUCGGCUUUCCA